rnacentral:sRNA from 10 species
AACUAGCCCAGAUAGGAACGGCAUCCUUUUUAUUGUUUUAGGGACAUGCCCUUCGACUGUGCUUAGGGUGAUAAAACAAUAAAAAGAUAGAGUGGAUAGCUGGAAAUAGC